CGAGUGAACAGGGAAGAGCCCAGCACCGAAGCCUGUGGUCAUUUGAUCACCAGGCAAUGUGGUGUUCAGGUCGUUCCGCGGAGGCACUGCUCCACCCUAAGUCCAAUAAUGAGAACGGUUUCUCGGACAUGGCCCAUGGAGGGUGAAAGGCCCGUGGGGGUGGAGAUCAGGUUGGCCAGUGCUGCUCUGGGGAGACCUUGGAGUCGGGUUGUUUGUGAAUGCAGCCCAAAGCGGGUGGUAGACUCCAUCCAAGGCUAAAUACAACACGAGUCCGAUAGCGAACAAGUACCGUGAGGGAAAGUUGAAAAGUACUCUGAAGAGAGAGUAAACAGUGCGUGAAGCCGUUCAGAGGUAAACAGAUAGAGUUGAACUGUGAGUUCCGAUGGUUCAGCUGGUGACUUUGGUUGAGCUUGGUCAAAAUGGUUGGGCUUUGAGGUCUGUGUAGCAACAGGUUCUUGCCUUCGGGUGAGAAUGCGCGAUGCACUCGUCGAGUGUUGUGCGCCUCAGAUGUCCCGAGCCGAGUCGCCAGUGCAUUCCGUCGGGACGGUCACCACGACCGGCACUAUCGUCUGUCUUUUGUGGUUAAACCGUGCGUGCUUCGUCCUUGUGGCUUUGUGCGUGCGGGAUGGCAGGUAGCUCAUUGGUUUGUUUACAAGCCUUUGGGUGAAAUAGCUGACUGCAAUUUGACUGUGCGUUGUGCCGGGGACGGCGGCUUGAGGUGUGUGCGUGUGUGCUAGUUUGCUGGCGUAUCCGUGUCAGGUUGCUCAGUUGCUCACCUAGUGGGCCAAGCGGCGACUGGGAUGCGUUCGGCGAGCGGUCGCGCUCGAGACACCGUUGAAGGGC
rnacentral:rRNA from 1 species